UGCAAGUCGAGCGGGAAUAGGUAGCUUGCUACCGAUUUCUAGCGGCGGACGGGUGAGUAAUGCUUAGGAAUCUGCCUAUUAGUGGGGGACAACAUUUCGAAAGGGAUGCUAAUACCGCAUACGCCCUACGGGGGAAAGCAGGGGAUCUUCGGACCUUGCGCUAAUAGAUGAGCCUAAGUCAGAUUAGCUAGUUGGUGGGGUAAAGGCCUACCAAGGCGACGAUCUGUAGCGGGUCUGAGAGGAUGAUCCGCCACACUGGGACUGAGACACGGCCCAGACUCCUACGGGAGGCAGCAGUGGGGAAUAUUGGACAAUGGGGGGAACCCUGAUCCAGCCAUGCCGCGUGUGUGAAGAAGGCCUUUUGGUUGUAAAGCACUUUAAGCGAGGAGGAGGCUACUCUAGUUAAUACCUAGGGAUAGUGGACGUUACUCGCAGAAUAAGCACCGGCUAACUCUGUGCCAGCAGCCGCGGUAAUACAGAGGGUGCGAGCGUUAAUCGGAUUUACUGGGCGUAAAGCGUACGUAGGCGGCUUUUUAAGUCGGAUGUGAAAUCCCUGAGCUUAACUUAGGAAUUGCAUUCGAUACUGGGAAGCUAGAGUAUGGGAGAGGAUGGUAGAAUUCCAGGUGUAGCGGUGAAAUGCGUAGAGAUCUGGAGGAAUACCGAUGGCGAAGGCAGCCAUCUGGCCUAAUACUGACGCUGAGGUACGAAAGCAUGGGGAGCAAACAGGAUUAGAUACCC
rnacentral:rRNA from 1 species